GACAGAGGCCUCGAGCGUUAGGCGGAAUCACUGGGCUUAAAGCGUGUGUAGGCGGAUCGUUAAGUGCCUUGUGAAAUCCCACGGCUUAACUGUGGAACGGCUGGGCAUACUGGCGGUCUUGAGCCAUCUAGGGGCGACUGGAACAAACGGUGGAGAGGUGAAAUGCGUAGAUAUCGUUUGGAACGCCAAUGGUGAAAACAGGUCGCUGGGGAUGAGCUGACGCUGAGACACGAAAGCCAGGGGAGCAAACGGG
rnacentral:rRNA from 1 species